CCUACGGGCGGCAGCAGUGGGGAAUAUUGGACAAUGGGCGAAAGCCUGAUCCAGCCAUGCCGCGUGUGUGAAGAAGGCCUCCGGGUUGUAAAGCACUUUCAGUGGGGAAGAAAGCCUUGGGGCUAAUACCCUCGAGGAAGGACAUCACCCACAGAAGAAGCACCGGCUAACUCCGUGCCAGCAGCCGCGGUAAUACGGAGGGUGCGAGCGUUAAUCGGAAUUACUGGGCGUAAAGCGCGCGUAGGCGGUCUGAUAAGCCGGUUGUGAAAGCCCCGGGCUCAACCUGGGAACGGCAUCCGGAACUGUCAGGCUAGAGUGCAGGAGAGGAAGGUAGAAUUCCCGGUGUAGCAGUGAAAUGCGUAGAGAUCGGGAGGAAUACCAGUGGCGAAGGCGGCCUUCUGGACUGACACUGACGCUGAGGUGCGAAAGCGUGGGUAGCAAACAGGAUUAGAUACCCCAGUAGUC
rnacentral:rRNA from 1 species